rnacentral:ncRNA from 1 species
GUUACAGGGGAGCCCAUGUUGAUAGGCUGAGAGUAAGAUACUAUCUUUUACCCUUAUAACCUGAUUUGGAUAAUGCCAACGUAGGGAAAUU